rnacentral:lncRNA from 1 species
UCAAUAUAGUGAAUGUCAUUUAUUAUUUAGGAAGCAUUUCAUCCAUUAGAUUGGUACUGAUAUUGAACAAAUAAAUUUUAGGUCUUUAUCGGCAACUAAACCUCGAGCUCAGCUUAUUCACUGACUGAACAAGCCCUUAUCAAGGCAUAUAUGAAACAAAACAAGAGCUAGUCACAUAUGGCACAACCAUGAGCACAAGUAAUCCAUCUUGUAGUAAGUAUCCAUUUUCCAGCCAAUAAGUUUAGAGCUGAGGUCAUGCAAGUUAAGGCUGGUUGGGUUCUCAUAAGAUAUGUAUUUCACCUACCAAUAUUUCUCUUUGGGACAAGCACAUGCAAUAGCUUCUGCCAAUGCGACAAUGUGAGGCUAUGGCUGGUCGAGAGGGCUAUUUGAUGUUCAUGUGACUGAUCCUCUUUCUCGUGCAAGAUUCGUGUGGGAUUUGAGUGAAGUUCUUGUAGCACUUGUCAAAUUGUCAAUGGUCAAGAGAGUAACAUGUUCCUUGCAUGACCAGUGAUAUACUGUGUCAAAUCAUUUAUUUUGGAACCCGAUAACUAAUUGUACCUACCAGCACAGACUUUUCCUGGGUAGAUACAUUUACAAACAAGGCUGAUGUUUCAUAGAAGAUAUGAGAAGUUGGCAAGUUAAGAGGAUUCUAGUUUUGGAAGGUUCAAUGCUGGCCAAUCCUGAAUGAGAAACAGGCUAUAUAGAUUACGCUAGUGUGGAGCAUCUCAGUAUUUCAAGACUCAGUUCUGGUUUUACUUGAUGUGUUUCACGGGUCAUCAAAGGGCUAAAAUAUCAGUUUAAAGACUGCCUAAUAUGUCCAUUAAUGAAAAAACAGUUGGUUCAUAUCAUUUAAACCUGUUCAGGCCU